AUGGCGAGUUCCAAGGUGCCACUGCCACGGCUACAUCGCCUGCUUCUCCCGUUUGCCCUGCUGCUGCUGGUUCUUCUCCUUGCUUCCAGGCAGGCCGAGGGCCGCGCCUCGCCUCCAGCUGCAGCAGCAGCACCACGCCGCGGCACCUCGCUGAGAUCCCAGGCCGGAGCGCUUCUCCACUGGAAAUCAUCAGUCAACUACUCCUCCAAGCAACAUCUGGGGACGUGGAGAGACGACGGCAUGCACCCGUGCAACUGGACCGGCAUCACCUGCGGCGACACUCGGUCACGCCGAGGAACCACGGCGAAGGUCAUCAGAGGAAUCUCCCUCGGCGGUGCCGGCAUUGCAGGGCGGCUGGACGCCCUGAGCUUCCAGUCACUCCCUUACCUCGUCAACCUCGACCUCAGCGACAACUACCAGCUCUCUGGUGCCAUUCCUUCUGCCAUCGGCUUUCUUUCCAUGCUUUCCACCCUCAACUUCUCCGGCGGUCAGCUCGACGGCAGCAUACCUCCGUCCAUCUGCAGCCUUGGGAGGCUCACGCACAUGGACCUCUCCAUCAACAACCUCACCGGCCACAUCCCUCCUGCCUUGGGUAACCUCUCAAGACUUGCUUUCCUUUAUCUACCUGGGAAUAGGCUCUCAGGCAGCAUCCCAUGGCAGCUCGGGCAGCUUGGAAACAUGAGAAAGAUGGAUUUGAGAUGGAAUGUCCUUUCUGGCCACAUACCUUCCUCCUUUGCAAACCUGACAAACCUCAACUAUCUGGACCUUUCCGGUAAUCGUCUGUCAGGACCUAUACCUGAAGAGCUAGGCCAGGUCAAAACCCUGCAAGCACUAUCCUUGGCACAAAACAACCUCAACGCUGCAAUUCCGCCCUCCCUUGGAAACCUCACGAUGCUCAGCUUCCUGAACAUAUAUCAGAACCAGCACACCGGCCCGAUCCCGGUAGAGCUUGGGAUGCUCUCCAGCUUGAUUGAGUUGGAUUUGUCACAGAACCACUUGACCGGCUCAAUUCCUUCUAGUGUUGCUGGAAACCUUACUUCAUUGACCUAUUUUUCUGUUUGGGGUAACAACAUCACUGGACUCAUCCCUCAUGAGUUCGGAAAUCUCGUGAAUCUCGAAGCACUCCUACUCUCGAAAAAUUUCAUAGUUGGAUCAAUACCGUCAAGUAUUGGGAACAUGUCUUCACUCAGCCAAAUAGUAAUAAAUACCAAUAAUAUAUCCGGGGAAUUGCCGACCGAGCUGGGGAAUUUGGCAAAUUUGGAAAUAAUUGAUUCCUAUGAAAACCAGUUAUCCGGCCCAAUCCCUCAAAGUUUUGGGAAAUUGGUGAGUAUGAGAGAAAUGAGACUGUUCAGCAAUCAGCUCACUGGCUCUUUGCCUUCAGCACUCCCCAACCUUACCAGUUUGGUCCUAAUUGAACUGAAUGACAACAAGCUGACCGGACACUUGCCAGAUUUGUGCCAGAGUAAAAAGCUACAGGUUUUCCAAGUUUUUAAUAACAAAUUGGAUGGUCCUGUCCCAAAAGGUUUGAGGGAUUGCAGUUCACUAAUAUCCCUUGGAAUCGGCAACAAUCAGAUGGAGGGAGACAUAACUGAAGCAUUUGGGGUGUAUCCACAUCUCAAAAGCAUUGGUUUAUAUUUAAAUAGGUUUGUAGGGCAACUCUCACCAAAUUGGGGCUCAUGUCAAAACUUGACGAGUAUUUAUUUUGCAAACAACAUGAUAGAAGGUAGUAUACCUUCUGAGCUUGGGGAACUAAAAAAUCUUGGAUGGCUCGACCUCGGUUUCAAUAGGUUGAAUAGUGAGAUACCGGUAGAAAUAGGCAAGUUAAGCAACCUGUAUUGGAUGAACUUAGGACACAAUCGACUAUCUGGCCAAAUCCCUAAGCAAAUUGGCCGACUGGGUAAUCUUGAAGUUCUUGGUUUGUCGAGCAAUCUGUUAAGUGGUGAAGUACCAGAAGAGAUCGGGAAUUGUUUGAAACUGCGGUCAUUAUAUAUGCAUAACAACAGCCUCAGUGGAAGUAUUCCUGGAAGUGUGGGCAAUUUAGUUUCCCUGCAAAGCAUGUUUGAUCUUAGUAUGAAUAGUCUUAGUGGACCAAUACCAUCGGAACUCAGCAAACUAGAGAUGAUGAUCUGUGUGAACUUCUCACGCAAUCAAUUCAGCGGUACCAUCCCUUCCUCGAUUGCAAGCAUGCAAAGCCUAUCAGUUUUUGAUGUAUCCUACAACUUCCUAGAAGGCUCUGUCCCAAAAGGGAUCCACAAUGCAUCAGCUCAAUGGUUUCUUCACAACAAAGGUCUUUGCGGAGAUCUUGUUGGCAUGCCCCCUUGUAAUUUGCCCCCGGUGGAUCAUAGGAAAAGGCAUGAAAAUACUGUACUAUCAGUCGUUCUGCUUAUGUUUGUUGCUACUAUUUCGAUAGCAACGGCUGUAAUUGCCUUUUUGAUUUGCCGCAAGAAAACAUCUCAAAAAACUGAUGACGCAAGCAAAAGGGAUGUAUUCUCUGUAUGGAGCUUUGAUGGCAGAAUGGCAUUUGAGGAUAUUAUCAAUGCAACUGAUAAUUUUGAUGAGAAGAAUUGCAUUGGACAGGGAUCAUAUGGCAGUGUUUAUAAAGCAGAACUUCAAGAUGAACAAAUGGUUGCAGUAAAGAAACUAUAUCCAGGCGAUGAAGACGCGCAUGAUGAAGAAAGAUUCCAGCAUGAGAUUGAAAUGUUAAAAAAAAUUCGCCAACGCAGCAUCGUCAAGCUAUAUGGGUAUUGCUCUCAUCCACGGUACAGGUUCCUUGUAUGCCAGUUUAUAGAGAAAGGAAAUCUUGCUUCUAUCUUAAGCAAUGAAGAACUAGCAAUCCAGUUCAACUGGCAAAGAAGGACAGCUCUCGUAAGAGAUGUUGCUCAAGCCCUCACUUACCUCCAUCAUGAUGUUCAGCCGCCCAUAAUUCAUCGAGACAUCACAAGCAGAAACAUCUUACUAGAUGCUGGUUACAAAGGAUUUGUCUCGGAUUUCGGUAUUGCAAGAAUGUUGAAACCUGAUUCAUCAAACUGGAGUGCACUAGCAGGGACUUAUGGGUACAUAGCACCUGAAUGUUCCUACACUUUCCUAGUUACGGAGAAAUGUGAUGUAUAUAGCUUUGGUGUGGUGGUGCUAGAGGUUCUGAUGGGCAAACAUCCAGGAGACAUACAAGCUUUUCAUUCUUCACUCAAUGACCAAUUUCUUCUGGAAGUAAUUUUGGAUAAACGACUUCCACGACCCGAAACCGAGGCGAACGACGUGAAGCAGUGCAUCUCUGUGGCAUUUGAGUGCCUAACUCCUUCACCCAAAGAAAGGCCAACUAUGCAAAAAGUUCAUCGAGAUCUUUCCAUCUGA
rnacentral:rRNA from 1 species